GGACAAACUCCGAUAACUUUUCUCCGGCAUAUUUUUUGCCGAUCUACUGUCUAUUUCAAUUCUGCCAAAGUUAUUUUCAUGGAUAGCGAACACCGACGUUACUGUAUCAACUGAUAAUCUCAAGAUCAAAAAGCGUGAGAGUACCAUAUCUCAUACCCAACGAGGCUUUCUCAUACUUCAUUAGGAUCUUCUGCCUCUUCCUUCUUCCCCAAAGCCUUCAGGAAUGGAUAUGGAGUUGUCUUAAACAAAUUUUUACGCCAGGAAGUAAACCGCAAGUUGAAAAAAUUAACAACCACUGCACAUUGUCGAUCCUCACCCUAGUUGAGACGCACUUGAACUCUAAGUCCAAGAAAGUAUUGGAAGAUCCAGUAUUUGGUCUGAUCGUGAAGAUUCAUUGAAAUGGUAUCAGAUAGUCGGUGAGGCUGAUCCACAGCUUUAUGUGUAAAUAGCUCAUGACAAACAAGAAGCAUGAGCUGUGGUUCAUUUCUGGACAGAAACCUCUUUUAUUAUCCAUGCAAGAGUACUAUGCAGUUACUGGUUUCAACUUCUGGGAGACAAGGAACAACAAAAGGGAAACUGGAAGAAAGAUGGUGGUUUCUGGAGCAAUUUGUUAGAGAGUAAUGCAGGAAUAACCCUGAAGAUGAUAAUGGAUGUACACCUCAGGAAUGCUAACAAGUGGAGCCACGAUGAUAGGUUGAGAUUGGUUUAUUUGCAGGUUUGGUAAUGGCUCAGAGUGUUUAUAUUCAUAUCACGCGAAAGUAUAUUGUGUUUGUGAUGAUUUAGAGAGGCUGCGGAGAUACCCAUGGGGGCUUAAGUCAUUCAAAUUUUUGGUGGAUAACAUUUUGAAGAGUAGGGUGAGGCUGCAACAAGGGAAGUCAUAUACAUUAGAUGGUUUUUCACUGUCUUCAGAUCUGAAUAAUGGAAGCCAUUCCUGUUUUUGGAACAAUGUUGGGUAGAAGAGUCGAAAAUGAGCAUGUUCCCAUUCCUAGAUGCACUAACUGGAGUGGAGCUGCACUAGUGUCAUAUGCAGAGAUUUUCUAACUAGAAAUCACCUUUAAAUACGAACUUAGUACUGUCUUACUUACUUAAAAAAAAAAAAUUAUUGCUGGCUUUGCUUAUAUUUGUUCCAUCUCCAUAAAUGUCUAACUCCUUUUUUUUUUUGCUCCCAACUAAUUCUUACAGGAUGUCAUAUAUCCGUUCAUCUCUUGUACUUGGGAUUUUAACAUCAUUGAUUUGGCCAAUAUGUUAGGGAUGAUGAAAUGACUGAUGAGAGAGUAGAUUGCAUAAAGAACAUGGUCAGUCAGGGAAAGGAUUGGUCUAGCCAUGUUAGGGAAAUUGAGGGAGCUAUUAGCACAUCUUCAACUGCUCAUGAAGAAACAUCAAAGACCAAUGGUGUUAAUACAUGCGAAAAUGGUUUAAUUGAAGCUGAGACACCGAGUUGCGUAGCAGGUGAUGUAUCUGUUUCAAACCGCGGCAAAAAAAUGGCUGAUCAUGGUUCAGAUGCACGGAAAAAGAAGAUAUUGUGGAAACAAUCAGCAACGAAAGAAAGAGAUAUUGAUGAUGGUCUCAAUGCCUUUAUUUGAGAUUUGCUUCAGAGUACAAUCAAACCUUUGGAAGAGAAUAUCGAGAAUCUUCAUAAGAAAAU